ensembl:misc_RNA 7SK 7SK RNA
GGAUCUAAGAUAAUGUCAGUCUCCUCUGCAUGUGACAUCUGUCACCCCAUUGAUGGCCUGAUUUGAUGCAUCUGAUCUGGCUGGCUGGCUGGUAUCCCCGUCUUCCCUCAGGGCUCCAGGUGCUUCCCUUCAGAAACUGUGCAUCCAGUGGAAGAGGACAAUGUUCCCUGAUAGAGAAGGACCAUUCUUGGGUCAAGGGCAUAUGAGUAGCUAUGUUCCCUUGCUAGAACCUUCAAAUAAGCUCUCAAGAUCCAUUUGUAGAACAGAGGCUAGUCAAGCUUCCAAGACUCCAGACACUAUGCUGCAUGUGGCCAUCUGCCUUUCUUA